rnacentral:rRNA from 1 species
AGUGAACGCUGGCGGUAGGCCUAAUACAUGCAAGUCGAACGGCAGCACAGUAAGAGCUUGCUCUUACGGGUGGCGAGUGGCGGACGGGUGAGGAAUACAUCGGAAUCUACUUUUUCGUGGGGGAUAACGUAGGGAAACUUACGCUAAUACCGCAUACGACCUACGGGUGAAAGCAGGGGAUCUUCGGACCUUGCGCGUUUGAAUGAGCCGAUGUCGGAUUAGCUAGUUGGCGGGGUAAAGGCCCACCAAGGCGACGAUCCGUAGCUGGUCUGAGAGGAUGAUCAGCCACACUGGAACUGAGACACGGUCCAGACUCCUACGGGAGGCAGCAGUGGGGAAUAUUGGACAAUGGGCGCAAGCCUGAUCCAGCCAUACCGCGUGGGUGAAGAAGGCCUUCGGGUUGUAAAGCCCUUUUGUUGGGAAAGAAAAGCAGCAGGUUAAUACCCCGCUGUUCUGACGGUACCCAAAGAAUAAGCACCGGCUAACUUCGUG